rnacentral:rRNA from 1 species
AGCGAACGCUGGCGGCAUGCCUAACACAUGCAAGUCGAACGAGACCUUCGGGUAUAGUGGCGCAAGGGUGCGUAACGCGUGAGAACCUGCCCUUAGGUUCGGAAUAACUCCUCGAAAGGGGUGCUAAUACCGGAUAAUGUCUUCGGACCAAAGAUUUAUCGACUUUGGAUGGGCCCGCGUUGUAUUAGCUAGUUGGUAGGGUAAAAGCCUACCAAGGCGACGAUACAUAGCUGGUCUGAGAGGAUGAUCAGCCACACUGGGACUGAGACACGGCCCAGACUCCUCCGGGAGGCAGCAGUGGGGAAUAUUGGACAAUGGGCGAAAGCCUGAUCCAGCAAGGCCGCGUGAGUGAUGAAGGCCUUAGGGUUGUAAAGCUCGUUUACCCGGGAUGAUAAUGACAGUACCGGGAGAAUAAGCUCCGGCUAACUCCGUG